CAGUCGCCGCGGGAAUACGAAGGGUGCAAGCGUUAAUCGGAAUUACUGGGCGUAAAGCGCGCGUAGGUGGUUUGGUAAGAUGGAUGUGCAAUCCCCGGGCUCAACCUGGGAACUGCAUCCAUAACUGCCUGACUAGAGUACGGUAGAGGGUGGUGGAAUUUCCUGUGUAGCGGUGAAAUGCGUAGAUAUAGGAAGGAACACCAGUGGCGAAGGCGACCACCUGGACUGAUACUGACACUGAGGUGCGAAAGCGUGGGGAGCAAACAGGAUUAGAUACCCCCGUAGUCCCUGUCUCUUAUAC
rnacentral:rRNA from 1 species